rnacentral:lncRNA from 1 species
AACAAUUGAUUAUAACCCAAUAGCAAUCUAUCGUUAGACUAGAAGCAUAAAUAGAAUAGUUAGCUGAGUCUACCAUGAGGACAGAACCAGAUCAAUUGCAAAACCAACUGAUACCAAAUCUCAGGAACAACCCACCCACCCACCAACCACCUGAAUCUAGUCAUCAAUCUAAUGUCCCACCUAAGAAUCCUCAAUUUAAAAAUGAUAAAAUAAUCUCCGAGCUUAAAAGUGAUAGGAUUCUUAAGGACCCAUACCA